rnacentral:rRNA from 1 species
UACGGAGGGAGCUAGCGUUAUUCGGAAUUACUGGGCGUAAAGCGCACGUAGGCGGCUUUGUAAGUAAGAGGUGAAAGCCUGGUGCUCAACACCAGAACUGCCUUUUAGACUGCAUCGCUUGAAUCAUGGAGAGGUGAGUGGAAUUCCGAGUGUAGAGGUGAAAUUCGUAGAUAUUCGGAAGAACACCAGUGGCGAAGGCGGCUCACUGGACUGGUAUUGACGCUGAGGUGCGAAAGCGUGGGGAGCAAACAGG